GCUUACGGCCAUACCAGCCUGGGUACGCCUGAUCUCGUCUGAUCUCGGAAGCUAAGCAGGGUCGGGCCUGGUUAGUACUUGGAUGGGAGACCGCCUGGGAAUACCAGGUGCUGUAAGCA
rnacentral:rRNA from 1 species